GCUUACGGCCACACCGCCUGGUUCACGCCCGAUCUCGUUUGAUCUCGGAAGCUAAGAUAGGGUGGGCCUGGUUAGUACUUGGAUGGGAGAUCGCCUGGGAAUACCAGGUGCUGUAACUU
rnacentral:rRNA from 1 species